rnacentral:rRNA from 1 species
UAGGGAAUCUUCGGCAAUGGACGAAAGUCUGACCGAGCAACGCCGCGUGAGUGAAGAAGGUUUUCGGAUCGUAAAACUCUGUUGUUAGAGAAGAACAAGGACGUUAGUAACUGAACGUCCCCUGACGGUAUCUAACCAGAAAGCCACGGCUAACUACGUGCCAGCAGCCGCGGUAAUACGUAGGUGGCCAGCGUUGUCCGGAUUUAUUGGGCGUAAAGCGAGCGCAGGCGGUUUCUUAAGUCUGAUGUGAAAGCCCACGGCUCAACCGGGGAGGGUCAUUGGAAACGGGGAGACUUGAGUGCAGAAGAGGAGAGUGGAAUUCCAUGUGUAGCGGUGAAAUGCGUAGAUAUAUGGGGGAACACCAGUGGCGAAGGCGGCUCUCUGGUCUGUAACUGACGCUGGGGCGCGAAAGCGUGGGGAGAAAACAGG